rnacentral:lncRNA from 1 species
AAUAAUGCAGUAAUAGGUAAUGUUUUAAAUCCUAUAAGUACUUUACUGAGUUAGGACUCUCAGCUCUUAGUUUAGUCUCGGUGCUGUUUUAGUCUAAGCCAUUAUACAACAAUUCUGGACCCACAGCAGGAACAACUGCCUGUGGCCUCGGAUGUAGAUACCAGUCCCCUAGCCCCAGGAGUAGUAAGCCCGAACUUUUUCUAUUAGCUCAUCUUGUCC